UCGUGCAGCACAUGAGUGAAUGUUUUUAUGCCUCUCAGACGACGGAAAUGCCCCGAAAUUACAUGUUUUUUUCAUGCACUUGGACAAGUUGGCUAGUUCCAUAAGAAUUGAGAAUUGUGAUCAAGUGAUCCAAACUGCGGUUGUCAGAUCAUCAGUCAAAGUGCCGUCCAGAUUAUCAGAUCAUCAGUCAUAGUGGCAGUCUGUGUCGCACAGAGCAGAAGUGAUGCUGAAGCCUAGUGUCCAGCAAUCUGCGAUAAGACAACUCAUUUAAUUUCCUGUCUACAGAUGAGGUGAUACUGCGGUUGUCAGAUCAUCAGUCAAAGUGCCGUCCAGAUUGUCAGAUCAUCAGUCAUAGUGGCAGUCCGUGUCGCACAGAGCAGAAGUGAUGCUGAAGCCUAGUGUCCAGCAAUCUGCAAUAUGACAACUCAUUCAACUUCCUGUCUACAGAGAUGAACUGAUGAAGAGCCCAGAAAUGUCUGAUCUUCAUUGAUGGAUGGCUGUCAAUCACACUGAGCAGAGGAGUCUCAAUCUAUCACUGAUGAAGUCUUUGAGAGUCUCCAGCAGUCUGCUUUGACAACUCAAUCAACUUCACAUUUAAAGAUGAGGUGAUACUGCGGUUGUCAGAUCAUCAGUCAUAGUGCUGUCCAGAUUGUCAGAUCAUCAGUCAUAGUGGCAGUCCGUGUCGCACAGAGCAGAAGUGAUGCUGAAGCCUAGUGUCCAGCAAUCUGCGAUAUGACAAUUCUUUCAACUUCCUGUCGACAGAUCAACUAAUCCAGACAGUUGAGAGUGUCAGAUCUUCAUUCUACCUCUGCCAUCAAUCAACUUUACAGAUCAACUAAAUACAGACGGAGAGUUUUGGAUAUUCACAAGGAGUUUGCCAACCAUCAUCGAUGCCUCAACCUUUUUGUAUAGUUUGUAAUUAGUUGUAGAUUACUGGUAUAGAUUUAAGGUUGUUAGGUGUGGUGAAUUGAUCACACUCGCCCCUGUGAAAUUCUGCACUUCCCCUGUGUUGUGAAUUUCUUGCACAUCCAACUUGUCUUGUGAAUUUCUCCCACUUCCACUGUGGUGAGUUGCUCAUACUUUCACCUUGUGUCGUGAAUUAUCAAGUUUAUAAACUGAAACGUUGUCUAGGGCUGAGUUGGAAGAAUGUUUCGCUAUCUAGUCUAGCACAUUCAUUUCGCUCAUUUAAUUUAGAUGUAUGCUGAUGUAUGGAGUUGACAAACUUGGUUGCCAUAUAGUGGAGCCGGUAUGGGAAUUUUUCCCCACAGGGGUUUUUGCCCAUCUCAUAUAUCAGCAAUUAGCAGGCAUGCAAUAUCUAAUUUGUACGGUUUUGGUUUUCUCAGCCAUUAAAAAUUUGAAAAACAGCACAAAAUCUUGCUGUGCUAGGAUUUCUGGAAAUGUCAAAUCUUUUUUCAAAAUAUAGAGUUGCAUGACUGAAAUAGGAGACACUUUAGUGUCUAAAUUCUUAGGAGUCAAAAAAAUUUGACCUACCUACAUGUAAUACUAUUUUAUUUAUUUUUUGAAUAUUUUUGUAGAUUAUUCAACGUUUCUGGGUGUGCCAGGGUGCAUCACACUUCCUUUGUGUGUAGAGUACAGACACUUUCCCUUGUGUUACUCUGAGUUGCUCACACUUCCUGUGUGUGUCGAGUACAGACACUUUCCCUUGUGUUACUCUGAGUUUCUCACACUUCCUGUGUGUGUCGAGUACAGACACUUUCCCUUGUGUUACUCUGAGUUACUCGCACUUCCUUUGUGUGUCGAGUACAGACAC